rnacentral:ncRNA from 1 species
GCAGAGUAAAAGCCUGUGCGUCAAGUGCCAGCCCGACGGGGAGUUGCGGGCCGGACGAAGAAGCACUCCGCUUCGCGGUACAGACUUUGCAUCCCGCUGC